AGUGACAUGAUCUGAUCUGGUUUCUUUUUACAGGAUAAUUUUGCCUACUGUGUUGAAAGUAGUAGACUGAAGAAGGCAAGGGUGCAGGGGGUGUAGCUAAGGAAUUGAGGCUCCAGAUUGGGAGAGAUCACCAAGGAAUAAAUGAGAAGCAGACAAAGAAAAAAAAAAGACCAAGGACUGAAUCCCAAGGCAUCUAAUGUUAAGAGGUGGAGAGAGAGGGAAAAAUGAGCAAAGACAACUCA
rnacentral:lncRNA from 10 species